rnacentral:ncRNA from 1 species
GGGUGGGGAGGCAUGGUGCCGCCCCCAGGGUUCCCAAUCGGGUGGUCGGGCCGCCAUCC